AAGAAGUUAAUCUAAAUAAAGAUUAUUAAUUUCGACUUAAUAAAUUGUGAAAACACAACUUCUUU
rnacentral:tRNA from 1 species